GACGACGCCGGGUCGUUAAGCCCCGCCCACUACAGCAUUCUACUUCCUGUUUUCUAUGGCCACGCGUGCUGUCGUGCAGAGCUUGACUGGCCAGCUAAUAUCCAGUUAUCAUGACUAAUAAAGGAAAUGAGUUGUUAAUCGAUCACGGUCUAGAUAGCUAGGUUUCGCUGGAAAGGUGAGGUAGAUGGCGGCUCUGAUCCGGAUCCUGAUGCGCUUGUCGCCUCGCGUUCACACUGUGAGAGUCCUCCGAUCAAACGGACACAAAACCGACGACCUCUUGAAGAACGAGGCGGUUCAGAGACACAUUAAACGCGUGGUCGACGAGCAGAAGGCCAUUUCCAGUCGUUUAGAGAGCGGCCAGGUGACCGAGUCUGACAGGAGAGCGCUAAACCUGCGACUAGCUGAAGUGAUGAAGGUGGUUAAAGCGUUUGAGAAAACUCAGCUAGCGCUCAGAGAACUAGCCGAGAUACAGACUCUCAUCCACAACACCGGAGCUGAAGACCAGCAGAUGCUUUCGCUCCUGCGAGAGGAACAUGAAGAGCUGAGCAGAAGAACAGAGAAGCAGAACAAGGAGCUGAUUGAGACGCUGGUUCCCGCUGAUGACCUCGACAGCAGAAGCGUCGUCCUGGAGGUGGCAGCAGGACGGACCACCGGAGGCGACAUCUGCCAGCAGUUCACCAGAGAGAUGUUUGACAUGUACCAGGGCUUCGCCUCCUAUAAACACUGGGACUUUGAGCUCUUCAAUUACACUCCGGCAGAUUACGGUGGUCUCCAUCACGCGGCGGUGAGGAUCUCCGGCGACUCCGUGUACCGCUGGCUGAGGUUCGAGGGCGGCACGCACCGGGUCCAGAGGAUUCCUGAAGUGGGUCUGUCGUCUCGCAUGCAGCGCAUUCACACGGGAACCAUGACGGUCGUAGUGCUGCCGCAGCCGAGCCAUGUGGACAUCAACAUCGCGGCUAAAGACCUGCGCAUAGACACGUUCAGAUCGCGCGGCGCAGGAGGUCAGAGCGUCAACACCACCGACAGCGCUGUACGCGUGGUUCACCUGCCCACAGGAACAGUAGCAGAAUGCCAGCAGUCUCGCUCUCAGCUGCAGAACCGCGACGCAGCGCUGCGUUUGCUCCGAGCCCGACUGUCCCAGAGCAUCAUGGGACGGCAGAGAGCUCAGACGCACGCCACACGCAGACAGCAGGUCGGCACUCGAUCGCAGUCCGAGAGAAUUCGCACGUAUAACUUCAGUCAAGAUCGUGUGACGGACCACAGGAUCGGUUCUGUGACGCGUGACAUCAAGGAGUUCAUGAGGGGAGGCGAGGCUCUGGAGGAGGUGCUCAGGCUCCUGCAGGAGAAUCAUGAGAGAGAAGCUCUUCUGAAACUGGUGCAGAUCAUCAGCUGAUCAACAGGAGAAACUUGAGUCUGAAGAUGCUGUCAAACUACAUCAGUGAGAAAUUACUGACAUGAGAAUAUUGACAGAUGAGGAUCUACAGGUGUUUCUAAACUUCAGUGUCAUCCAGAUGUUGAGAAAGAGAGUGAAGACUCGUCUGACUGACGAAGAAUGUGCGAGGCGUUCCUCUGAUAUCUCUACACGCCCGGCGAUAAAGA